rnacentral:rRNA from 1 species
UACGUAGGGUGCAAGCGUUGUCCGGAAUUAUUGGGCGUAAAGAGCGUGUAGGCGGCUUUACAGGUCCGUUGUGAAAACUCGAGGCUCAACCUCGAGACGCCGGUGGAAACCGUAAAGCUAGAGUCCGGAAGAGGAGAGUGGAAUUCCUGGUGUAGCGGUGAAAUGCGCAGAUAUCAGGAAGAACACCCGUGGCGAAGGCGGCUCUCUGGGACGGUACUGACGCUGAGACGCGAAAGCGUGGGGAGCGAACAGG